GAGUGGCGAACGGGUGAGUAACAUAUCGGAACGUGCCUAGUAAUGGGGAAUAACUAAUCGAAAGAUUAGCUAAUACCGCAUACGACCUACGGGUGAAAGCAGGGGAUCGUAAGACCUUGCGUUAAUGGAGCGGCCGAUAUCUGAUUAGCUUGUUGGUAGGGUAAAAGCCUACCAAGGCGACGAUCAGUAGCUGGUCUGAGAGGACGAUCAGCCACACUGGAACUGAGACACGGACCAGACUCC
rnacentral:rRNA from 1 species